GGCGGUUGGUUGAAUUUAUAAAGAUUCGCUCGUCGACCACCAUCUGAAAAGGAUGGGCCCGCCUGAUGGCUUUGUACUGUGAUUGGCCAUACGCCGAGCAAGACCUGUGACUGUGAGGUUGUCGCUUCCUACUUUGAGAGACGGCUUGCCCCUUUGCCGGAAGAUGAUAGGAUAAUGCUGGAGUAAUCGGACCAUAACAAGAUCUGAGACAAAAACACUGAUAUUAACCUCAGACGGUGAUAAGUCCAUAGGAGCAGUGUGGCAUAUCAGAACAUCAACGGGCCGGGAACGCGCCGCAGCCUCGAGCCGUUUUGGGCAAGAUCGGGACAACCUUGUUUGACGACUGGUCAAACUUGCUGGUACACCCAGAGUAGCCUACAUUUUUUGCACAUGUUGAAAGCGACAAUUAGUCGUCACUCGAACUUACAAUUACUCAACACUAUGAGCUGAGGUUUUUAGGGUCCCACAGUCAUGGGCGUCGCACGGUGAUUUUGGGGUUGGUCUUGCCACUUGGGACGGAUGAAAAAUUAAACAGUACAAAGAGGGAAAGCGAAAAAGAUGGGAAAAAAAGAUUCAAUGGGAUGGAAACAUCAGCCUGUUGAAAAAAAAAAUCGAUGCCCUCCAGCAGCUACGUUUUUAUGGGGAGGGGGGGAUGAGUACUUUUCCCCCGGAAAAUCCUUGUGAAAAACAAAAUCCUGGCGACGCAUGAAACUAAAUAAUUACUCUUAGUAUGAAAAGACUCGACGACAUUAACUCUUCCAUAGCCCAGGUCAUUUUUAAAGCAGGUCGUUUUGUAGCUGUAAUAAGUGCAUGUUUUGUGAAAUCAAACAUAUGGUCAAUAGCGAUAAGAUUAUGAUUUUUGAAAUUUUCAAAAUAGCGGCUACCAUUGUAUCCAGUCAGGAUUCGGGGAUGAUGUACACAGAAACACGUUGAAGUUGGCAGAUGAAGAAAAUAUUCUCAAAAGGGUUUAACCUGGUACCAAAUUGUAUGGCAUGCAAGUACCGCUUGCUAGUGCGAGUGACUAAAAUCCUUUUAAAAACUCCUGUGAAAA